ACCAUACUCCCUUCGUUCGGAAUUACUUGUCACAAAAAUGAAUGUAUCUAGGCAUAUUUUAAUUCUAGAUACAUCCAUUUUCGAGACAAGUAAUUCCGAACGGAUGGAGUACUUC
rfam:Triticum urartu cultivar G1812 contig1073223, whole genome shotgun sequence.